AUUGAACGCUGGCGGAAUGCUUACACAUGCAAGUCGAACGGCAGCACGGACUUCGGUCUGGUGGCGAGUGGCGAACGGGUGAGUAAUACAUCGGAACGUGCCCAGUCGUGGGGGAUAACGUAGCGAAAGCUACGCUAAUACCGCAUACGAUCUAAGGAUGAAAGCGGGGGAUCGCAAGACCUCGCGCGAUUGGAGCGGCCGAUGGCAGAUUAGGUAGUUGGUAGGGUAAAGGCCUACCAAGCCGACGAUCUGUAGCUGGUCUGAGAGGAUGAUCAGCCACACUGGGACUGAGACACGGCCCAGACUCCUACGGGAGGCAGCAGUGGGGAAUUUUGGACAAUGGGCGCAAGCCGGAUCCAGACAUUCCGCGUGCAGGAUGAAGGCCUUCGGGUUGUAAACUGCUUUUGUACAGAACGAAAAGGCUCUGGUUAAUACCCGGGGCUCAUGACGGUACUGUAAGAAUAAGCACCGGCUAACUACGUGCCAGCCGCCGCAGUAA
rnacentral:rRNA from 1 species